rnacentral:rRNA from 1 species
GUUCAUAUCGACGGCGGUGUUUGGCACCUCGAUGUCGGCUCAUCACAUCCUGGGGCUGAAGUAGGUCCCAAGGGUAUGGCUGUUCGCCAUUUAAAGUGGUACGCGAGCUGGGUUUAGAACGUCGUGAGACAGUUCGGUCCCUAUCUGCCGUGGGCGCUGGAGAAUUGAGGGGGGCUGCUCCUAGUACGAGAGGACCGGAGUGGACGCAUCACUGGUGUUCGGGUUGUCAUGCCAAUGGCACUGCCCGGUAGCUAAAUGCGGAAGAGAUAAGUGCUGAAAGCAUCUAAGCACGAAACUUGCCCCGAGAUGAGUUCUCCCUGACUCCUUGAGAGUCCUGAAGGAACGUUGAAGACGACGACGUUGAUAGGCCGGGUGUGUAAGCGCAGCGAUGCGUUGAGCUAACCGGUACUAAUGAACCGUGAGGCUUAACCUU